CUUGUACACACCGCCCGUCAAGCGAUGGAAGUUGGGAGGACCUGAAGGCAGUUGUUGCAAGACGCUGUUUAGGGUUAAACCGAUAACUGGCGCUAAGUCGUAACAAGGUAGCCGUACCGGAAGGUGCGGCUGGAACACCUCCUUUCUGGAGCU
rnacentral:rRNA from 1 species